rnacentral:rRNA from 1 species
AGCCACACCACCCUGAAUGCACCUGGUCUUGUCUGAUCUCAGAAGCUAAGCAGUGGCAGGGGCAGGCCUGGUUAGUACUUGGAUGGGAAACCACCUGGGAAUACAGGGUGCUAAAAAUA